rnacentral:rRNA from 1 species
GAGUUUGAUCCUGGCCAGGAUGACCGCUAGCGGCAGGCCUAAUACAUGCAAGUCGAACGAUACCCUCUGGCUUGCCAGAUGGGAAAGUGGCGCACGGGUGCGUAACGCGUAUGCAACCUACCUUAAUCAGGGGGAUAGCCCGAAGAAAUUCGGAUUAACACCGCAUAAAAACACAGGAUAGCAUUAUCUAAUGUUCAAAUAUUUAUAGGAUUAAGAUGGGCAUGCGUGUCAUUAGCUAGUUGGCGGGGUAACGGCCCACCAAGGCGACGAUGACUAGGGGAUCUGAGAGGAUGACCCCCCACACUGGUACUGAGACACGGACCAGACUCCUACGGGAGGCAGCAGUAAGGAAUAUUGGUCAAUGGAGGGAACUCUGAACCAGCCAUGCCGCGUGCAGGAAGACGGCCCUCUGGGUUGUAAACUGCUUUUAUUCGGGAAUAAACCACAUUACGUGUAAUGUGCUGAAUGUACCGAAGGAAUAAGGAUCGGCUAACUCCGUGCCAGCAGCGCGG